GAUGAACGCUGGCGGCGUGCCUAAUACAUGCAAGUCGAGCGAAGCGGGGACGGGUGAGUAACCCGUGGAUAACCUCCUAUAAGACUGGGAUAACUUCGGGAAACCGGAGCUAAACCGGAUACUUAUAGAUGGAUCCGCGCUGCAUUAGCUAGUUGGUAAGCGAACGGCUUACCAAGGCAACGAUGCAGAGCCGACCUGAGAGGGAGAGCGGGCACACUGGAACGGAGAAACGGUCCAGACUCCUACGGGAGUCAGCAGUAGGGAAUCUUCCGAAAUGGGCGAAAGCCUGACGGAGCAAUACCGCGUAAGUGAUGAAGGUCUGCGGAUUGUAAAACAUGGGUAGUAGGGAAUCGUUACCUAAUCAGAAAGCCACGGCUAACGACGAGUCAGAAGCGGCGGUAAUAG
rnacentral:rRNA from 1 species